GACAGAGGGGGCAAGCGUUGCUCGGAAUUACUGGGCGUAAAGGGCGCGUAGGCGGGAUGGCAAGUCGGUCGUGAAAUCCCUCGGCGUCAACUGAGGAUCGUCGAUCGAUACUGCCGUUCUUGAGGAUUGCAGAGGAGACUGGAAUUCCUGGUGUAGCAGUGAAAUGCGUAGAUAUCAGGAGGAACACCGAUGGCGAAGGCAGGUCUCUGGGCUGACACUGACGCUCGAUGCACGAAAGCGUGGGGAGCAAACAGG
rnacentral:rRNA from 1 species